rfam:Auxenochlorella protothecoides strain 0710 contig1000, whole genome shotgun sequence.
GCCUUUGUGACGAAAUGGAAUACGUGUCAGUUUUAGGAACUGAUGUCUUUGACGUGUCGGUUCGAGUCCGACCAAAGGCA